rnacentral:rRNA from 1 species
CAAUAGCGUAUAUUUAAGUUGUUGCAGUUAAAAAGCUCGUAGUUGGAUUUCGGAUGGGAUCUGCCGGUCCGUCUUUGAGAUGUGUACUGGUAGGUCCUAUCUUGUUGUCGGGGACCAGCUCCUGGGCUUCACUGUCCGGGACUGGGAGCCGACGAAGUUACUUUGAGUAAAUUAGAGUGUUCAAAGCAAGCUUACGCUCUGAAUAUAAUAGCAUGGGAUAACACGACAGGACUCUGGCCUAUCGUGUUGGUCUAUAGGACCAGAGUAAUGAUUAAGAGGGACAGUCGGGGGCAUUCGUAUUCCGUUGUCAGAGGUGAAAUUCUUGGAUUUACGGAAGACGAACAUCUGCGAAAGCAUUUGCCAAGGAUGUUUUCAUUGA